UGAAUUGACGGGGAGCACCACAACGGGUGGAGCUUGCGGUUUAAUUGGAUUCAACGCCGGAAAUCUUACCGGGACCGACAGCAAUAUGAAGGCCAGGCUGAAGACUUUGCCGGAUUAGCUGAGAGGUGGUGCAUGGCCGUCGUCAGUUCGUACUGUGAAGCAUCCUGUUAAGUCAGGCAACGAGCGAGACCCACGCCCACAGUUGCCAGCGUACUCUCUGGAGUGACGGGUACACUGUGGGACCGCCGCUGCUAAAGCGGAGGAAGGAAUGGGCAACGGUAGGUCAGUAUGCCCCGAAUAUCCCGGGCUACACGCGAGCUACAAUGGUUGGUACAAUGGGUAUCUACCCCGAAAGGGGACGGGAAUCUCCUAAACCAAUCUUAGUUCGGAUUGAGGGCUGCAACUCGCCCUCAUGAAGCUGGAAUCCGUAGUAAUCGCGUUUCAACAGAACGCGGUGAAUACGUCCCUGCUCCUU
rnacentral:rRNA from 1 species